GACGUAGGGGACGAGCGUUGUCCGGAUUCAUUGGGCGUAAAGCGUGCGCAGGCGGUUGUGCAAGACAGAUGUGAAAUCCCCGGGCUUAACCUGGGAACUGCAUUUGUGACUGCACAGCUGGAGUGCGGCAGAGGGGGAUGGAAUUCCGGCGUGUAGCAGUGAAAUGCGUAGAUAUGCGGAGGAACACCGAUGGCGAAGGCAAUCCCCUGGGCCUGCACUGACGCUCAUGCACGAAAGCGUGGGGAGCAAACAGG
rnacentral:rRNA from 1 species